rnacentral:lncRNA from 1 species
UUCAAACUGUCUCGGUGGCACCGUUUCGCAGCAGAAGUGGCGAAACACUGCGGGGCUGCAUUUCGCCCUUGCUCUCGUCAAUUUUUUUCUGGUUGUAUACAGCCCUCAGGUAGUAAUGGGUGUCGGUGUGAUUCUCACGCAGCUGCUAGUGAAGAAGUUUUCUGCAAGCUUUCGACACAAACGAAACUCUCUUACGUUUUGUUUUAUGGGCACUAGGACGUGCGGAGGAUUGGGGAGUUUGUGAUCAAGGUAUGGAGUGUUCAUGCGUUUCUGCAGCCAUCUUCAGAUUUGCCGUCGCGGUCGCUGCCUUGUCCUGUGUUAUAUUUGAAUCUCGUUGAUACACGAUACUGAGCUAAAAUCUCUCAAUAUUUUCUUC